rnacentral:rRNA from 1 species
GGAGGUUACCGCUAUCGGUGUUCGCCUAACCCAUGCAAGUCAUAUGUUCUUCGUGAACAUGGCGUACUGCUCAUUAACACGUGAAUAACCUGCCCUUGGGACCGGCAUAACCCCGGGAAACUGGGGAUAAUUCCGGAUACCGCAUAUAUGCUGGAAUGCUUUAUGCGUGAAAUGGAUUCGUCUGCCCAAGGAUGGGUCUGCGGCCUAUCAGGUAGUAGUGGGUGUAAUGUACCUACCACCCUACAACGGGUACGGGUUGUGAAAGCAAGAGCCCGGAAAUGGAUUCUGAAACAUGAAUCCAGGCCCUACGGGGCGCACCAGGCGCGAAAACUUUACAAUGCGGGAAACCGUGAUAAGGGGACACCGAGUGCCAGCAACAUUUGUUGGCUGUCCAGGUGUGUAAACUACACCUGUUAGCAAGGGCCGGGCAAGACCGGUGC